rnacentral:rRNA from 1 species
GACGAACGCUGGCGGCGUGCUUAACACAUGCAAGUCGAACGGUGACGGAGAGCUUGCUCUCCUGAUCAGUGGCGAACGGGUGAGUAACACGUGGGCAACCUGCCCAGACUUCGGGAUAACGCUUCGAAAGAGGUGCUAAUACCGGAUACGAACUCCUUGGGCAUCCUUGGAGUUGGAAAGUUUUUCGGUCUGGGAUGGGCCCGCGGCCUAUCAGCUUGUUGGUGAGGUAACGGCUCACCAAGGCGACGACGGGUAGCCGGCCUGAGAGGGCGACCGGCCACACUGGGACUGAGACACGGCCCAGACUCCUACGGGAGGCAGCAGUGGGGAAUAUUGCGCAAUGGGCGAAAGCCUGACGCAGCAACGCCGCGUGAGGGAUGACGGCCU